GUCCUAGCUUCGGCUGGACAUAUACUAAAAUUGGAACGAUACAGAGAAGAUUAGCAUGGCCCCUGCGCAAGGAUGAAAAAAAAAAAGCGUACCCUACCGGUAUUUGU